UACGGGAGGCAGCAGUGGGGAAUAUUGCACAAUGGGCGCAAGCCUGAUGCAGCCAUGCCGCGUGUAUGAAGAAGGCCUUCGGGUUGUAAAGUACUUUCAGCAGUGAGGAAGGUGGGUAUGUUAAUAGCAUAUUCAUUUGACGUUAGCUGCAGAAGAAGCACCGGCUAACUCCGUGCCAGCAGCCGCGGUAAUACGGAGGGUGCGAGCGUUAAUCGGAAUUACUGGGCGUAAAGCGCAUGCAGGUGGUUUGUUAAGUCAGAUGUGAAAGCCCGGGGCUCAACCUCGGAAUUGCAUUUGAAACUGGCAAACUAGAGUACUGUAGAGGGGGUAGAAUUUCAGGUGUAGCGGUGAAAUGCGUAGAGAUCUGAAGGAAUACCGGUGGCGAAGGCGGCCCCCUGGACAGAUACUGACACUCAGAUGCGAAAGCGUGGGGAGCAAACAGGAUUAGAUAACCUGGUAG
rnacentral:rRNA from 1 species